UACUAGAGUAGCACUCGCAUAUCAAUAAGCGGAGGAAAAGAAACUAACAAGGAUUCCCCUAGUAACGGCGAGUGAAGCGGGAAGAGCUCAAAUUUGAAAUCUUAAAGGGUUUCCCUUUACGAAUUGUAGUUUAAAGAAGUGUUUUCUGUUGAGGUUUUGGUAAAAGUUCUUUGGAAUAGGACAUCAUAGAGGGUGAGAAUCCCGUAUUUGACCUUUACUUUCAACUUUGUGAUACACUUUCAAAGAGUCGGAUUGUUUGGGAAUGCAGUCCAAAAUGGGUGGUAAAUUUCAUCUAAAGCUAAAUAUUGGCGAGAGACCGAUAGCGAACAAGUACCGUGAGGGAAAGAUGAAAAGAACUUUGAAAAGAGAGUUAAACAGUACGUGAAAUUGUCAAAAGGGAAGCGUUUGACACCAGUGUUGUUUUUCUGAAAAUCAAUUAAAGAACUGUUUAUGCUAAGCUGUUUAGACUUUAUCAGCUAAUCUGUUUAGUUUUGAGCUUUUCUUUAAUGCACUUUUCAGUUAACAAGUCAACAUCAAUUUCUUUCGCUGUAAAAGAAGCUUGAGGAAGGUGGCUUGAGAUUCGUCUUAAGUGUUUAUAGCCUCUUGCCUAUGCAGUCGGAGAGAUUGAGGUCUGCAGCGUAGAUCCUUCGGGGCUAAAUGCAUUUGUGCUAAGUUAUAGCAUUUUAUAGACAACUUGUUGACUAUGAUUUGUCUUGUAGCUUACUCGCUUAUGUUAUUUUACCUACGCUUAGGAUGUUGAGCGCAUGUCUCUCUCU
rnacentral:rRNA from 1 species